rnacentral:rRNA from 1 species
UGAAUACGAGACGCUAAGGCGUCGAAGUAGUGUAUGUCAUACUUCCAAGAAAAGCUUGCACUGUCAUAGAUAAAAAACGCCUGUACCAUAACCGACACGUGGGUAGGUAGAGUAUACUAAGGGGCGCGAGAUAACUCUCUCUAAGGAACUCGGCAAAAUAACUCCGUAACUUCGGGAGAAGGAGUGCCUUAUUCGUAAGGUUGCAAUAACAAGAUCCAAGCAACUGUUUAUCAAAAACACAGGUCUCCGCUAAGUCGUAAGACGAUGUAUGGGGGCUGACGCCUGCCCAGUGCCAGAAGGUUAAAGAAGUUGGUUAGCAAUUGCGAAGCUGAUAACUGAAGCCCUGGUGAACGGCGGCCGUAACAAUAACGGUCCUAAGGUAGCGAAAUUCCUUGUCGGGUAAGUUCCGACCCGCACGAAAGGCGUAAUGAUUUGGAUACUGUCUCGGAGAGGGGCUCGGUGAAAUAGACUUGUCUGUGAAGAUGCGGACUACCUGCACCAGGACAGAAAGACCCUAUGAAGCUUUACUGUAACUUGAAAUUGAAAUUGGACUUUAUUCGCGCAGCAUAGGUGGGAGGCGUUGAUUAUAAUCUUGCGGGAUUAUUGGAGCCAUCAGUGAGAUACCACUCUUGUAAUGUUAGAUUUCUAACUUUGAAUCAUUAUCUGGUCAAAGAACAGUUUCAGGCGGGCAGUUUGACUGGGGCGGUCGCCUCCUAAACGGUAACGGAGGCGUACAAAGGUUUCCUCUGAACGGUUAGAAAUCGUAUCUAGAGUGUAAAGGCAUAAGGAAGCUUGACUGUGAGACCUACAAGUCGAGCAGGGACGAAAGUCGGUCUUAGUGAUCUGACGGUACUGAGUGGAAAGGCCGUCACUCAACGGAUAAAAGUUACUCUAAGGAUAACAGGCUGAUCUCCCCCAAGAGUUCACAUCGACGGGGAGGUUUGGCACCUCGAUGUCGGCUCAUCGCAUCCUGGGGCGGUAGUACGUCCCAAGGGUUGGGCUGUUCGCCCAAAAGCGGUACGCGAGCUGGGUUCAGAACGUCGUGAGACAGUUCGGUCCAUAUCCGGUGUAGGCGUUAGAAUAUUGAGAGGAGCCUUCUUUAGUACGAGAGGACCGAGAAGGACAUACCUCUGGUGUACCAGUUAUCGUGCCAACGGUAAACGCUGGGUAGCUAUGUAGGGAGUGGAUAACCGCUGAAAGCAUCUAAGUGGGAAGCCCACCUCAAGAUAAGUAGUCC